AUUUGAUACUUCUGUUUGUCUGGAAUCAAUUAAAGCAUCUGAAGGCCUACCAAAACAUUCUGGAGAACAAAUUUCAUUUUGUUUCACACCAAAUUCUCACAGAAUAAUAAUUGAUCAUAUAAUACUUUUUUAUUAACAUGGAAAGUAUUAGUUAUGUUCAGAUUUUCCAAAGCAAUUCAAACCUAGUAAUAACUCUUACACUCUAGUGACUUCAUUGAUAUUUAUCAGUGCUAGACUUGUUUUUAUAUUGAUUUAUUGUGUACUUUCUUCUCCUUUGUUUUAUCAUCUUUCAUCUUUAAGACAUUUUCAAGUGUAGAACACGUAUUCAGUGUUUUUCCCUUAAAAUGG
rnacentral:lncRNA from 1 species